CAGUAGCCGCGGGAAUACGUAGGGUGCGAGCGUUAAUCGGAAUUACUGGGCGUAAAGCGUGCGCAGGCGGUUUUGUAAGACAGGCGUGAAAUCCCCGGGCUCAACCUGGGAAUGGCGCUUGUGACUGCAAAGCUAGAGUGCGGCAGAGGGGGAUGGAAUUCCGCGUGUAGCAGUGAAAUGCGUAGAUAUGCGGAGGAACACCGAUGGCGAAGGCAAUCCCCUGGGCCUGCACUGACGCUCAUGCACGAAAGCGUGGGGAGCAAACAGGAUUAGAUACCCCAGUAGUCCCUGUCUCUUAUAC
rnacentral:rRNA from 1 species